GACGAACGCCGGCGGCGUGCUUAACACAUGCAAGUCGAGCGGUAAGGCCCGUUUCGGGGGUACACGAGCGGCGAACGGGUGAGUAACACGUGGGUGACCUGCCCUCAGCUCUGGGAUAAGCCUGGGAAACCGGGUCUAAUACUGGAUAUGACUCCAUGACGCAUGUUGUGGGGUGGAAAGCCUUGUGCGGCUGAGGAUGGGCCCGCGGCCUAUCAGCUUGUUGGUGGGGUGAUGGCCUACCAAGGCGACGACGGGUAGCCGGCCUGAGAGGGCGACCGGCCACACUGGGACUGAGACACGGCCCAGACUCCGUACGGGAGGCAGCAGGUGGGGAAUCUUGCGCAAUGGGCGAAAGCCUGACGCAGCGACGCCGCGUGAGGGAUGACGGCCU
rnacentral:rRNA from 1 species